rnacentral:rRNA from 1 species
GACGAACGCUGGCGGCGCGCUUAACACAUGCAAGUCGAACGGUAAGGCCUUUCGGGGUACACGAGUGGCGAACGGGUGAGUAACACGUGGGUGAUCUGCCCUGCACUUCGGGAUAAGCCCGGGAAACUGGGUCUAAUACCGGAUAGGACUGCGCGGUGCAUGCCGUGUGGUGGAAAGAUUUAUCGGUGCAGGAUGGGCCCGCGGCCUAUCAGCUUGUUGGUGGGGUAAUGGCCUACCAAGGCGACGACGGGUAGCCGGCCUGAGAGGGCGACCGGCCACACGGGGACUGAGAAACGGCCCAGACCCCUACGGGGGGCAGGGGUGGGGAAUUUUGCACAAGGGGGGAAAGCCUGAUGCAGGGACGCCGGGGGGGGGAUGAGGGCCUUCGGGUUGUAAACCUUUUUCAGCAGGGACGAAGGGGGGGGGACGGUACCGGCAAAAGAAGCACCGGCCAACUACGG